UACGUAGGGUGCGAGCGUUAGUCGGAAUUACUGGGCGUAAAGUGUGCGCAGGCGGCCGAGCAAGUCGAGUGUGAAAGCCCCGGGCUUAACUUGGGAAUUGCGCUCGAAACUACUUGGCUGGAGUGUGGCAGAGGAAGGUGGAAUUCCAGGUGUAGCGGUGAAAUGCGUAGAGAUCUGGAGGAACACCGAUGGCGAAGGCAGCCUUCUGGGCCAACACUGACGCUCAUGCACGAAAGCGUGGGGAGCAAACAGG
rnacentral:rRNA from 1 species